rnacentral:rRNA from 1 species
GACGAACGCUGGCGGCGUGCUUAACACAUGCAAGUCGAACGGAAAGGCCCUGCUUUUGUGGGGUGCUCGAGUGGCGAACGGGUGAGUAACACGUGAGUAACCUGCCCUUGACUUUGGGAUAACUUCAGGAAACUGGGGCUAAUACCGGAUAGGAGCUCCUGCUGCAUGGUGGGGGUUGGAAAGUUUCGGCGGUUGGGGAUGGACUCGCGGCUUAUCAGCUUGUUGGUGGGGUAGUGGCUUACCAAGGCUUUGACGGGUAGCCGGCCUGAGAGGGUGACCGGCCACAUUGGGACUGAGAUACGGCCCAGACUCCUACGGGAGGCAGCAGUGGGGAAUAUUGCACAAUGGGCGGAAGCCUGAUGCAGCAACGCCGCGUGCGGGAUGACGGCCUUCGGGUUGUAAACCGCUUUCGCCUGUGACGAAGCGUGAGUGACGGUAAUGGGUAAAGAAGCACCGGCUAACUACGUGCCAGCAGCCGCGGUGAUACGUAGGGUGCGAGCGUUGUCCGGAUUUAUUGGGCGUAAAGGGCUCGUAGGUGGUUGAUCGCGUCGGAAGUGUAAUCUUGGGGCUUAACCCUGAGCGUGCUUUCGAUACGGGUUGACUUGAGGAAGGUAGGGGAGAAUGGAAUUCCUGGUGGAGCGGUGGAAUGCGCAGAUAUCAGGAGGAACACCAGUGGCGAAGGCGGUUCUCUGGGCCCUUCCUGACGCUGAGGUGCGAAAGCGUGGGGAGCGAACAGGCUUAGAUACCCUGGUAGUCCACGCUGUAAACGGUGGGUACUAGGUGUGGGGUCCAUUCCACGGGUUCCGUGCCGUAGCUAACGCUUUAAGUACCCCGCCUGGGGAGUACGGCCGCAAGGCUAAAACUCAAAGGAAUUGACGGGGCCCCGCACAAGCGGCGGAGCAUGCGGAUUAAUUCGAUGCAACGCGUAGAACCUUACCUGGGUUUGACAUGGAUCGGGAGUGCUCAGAGAUGGGUGUGCCUCUUUUGGGGUCGGUUCACAGGUGGUGCAUGGCUGUCGUCAGCUCGUGUCGUGAGAUGUUGGGUUAAGUCCCGCAACGAGCGCAACCCUUGUUCACUGUUGCCAGCACGUUAUGGUGGGGACUCAGUGGAGACCGCCGGGGUCAACUCGGAGGAAGGUGGGGAUGACGUCAAGUCAUCAUGCCCCUUAUGUCCAGGGCUUCACGCAUGCUACAAUGGCUGGUACAGAGAGUGGCGAGCCUGUGAGGGUGAGCGAAUCUCGGAAAGCCGGUCUCAGUUCGGAUUGGGGUCUGCAACUCGACCACAUGAAGUCGGAGUCGCUAGUAAUCGCAGAUCAGCAACGCUGCGAUGAAUACGUUCCCGGG